rnacentral:lncRNA from 1 species
CAAUGGUUGGGCUUGAUCAUAGGCUUGAUUUUCAGAUUUUGAACUCGCAUGCUUUCAUUGCUUUGCCAGAAUUUUUAAAAUAUUUCUUCUGAAAGAAAUUUGUUGCUCAAAACCUAAAGGUAAGAAUGAAUAUUUACUUGGCUGAUUAACGAAUAGUAAAAUUUGGUGUAAUCUACUCAUUCUACAGUAAUGAAUAUUAAUUAAUUCAGAUAAUAAAUAAUAUAUACAAAGGCAACUGGGACCGCCGCAAUGCCGUCGGCAAGGUCAUGGACCGCGGAAACAGUAGCGUCCUCACAGAAGGCCGACUUCUUGAUUUUUGUAACUGUUGCAAUGCUGUCACCAUGUUCCUGGCCAAUGUGCUUGCUUGAGGCAUUCAUCCCCCUGAAAAUAUUCAAAAUGGUGGACAUUUAGGGGGGUGAUUGCCUCUCGUAAGCACACUGGCUAAAGAACAUAUUGUCAUGGUGAGUGUAUUUUGAUGACAAAUCAUUGUGUAGUGGUUACGACAAAGGUUCCAACCCUCCCGAUUUGAUCGGGAGGCUCCAGAUUUCUUGGCAAAUCUCCCGAUUUAUAUUUAAACCUCCUGAUUUUACGAAUGAAAAGAAAAAAUGUUACUUUUUCUAAAAGAAUCCUUGUAAAAGCUGUUCGCGUACGGUAAAAACGGUUGUCGGAUCGACAAAAAAGCGGUAUUUCGCCAAGAGGGGUGUUUUGUACGACAAAGUUUCGUAAUAUUUCGCAUGAAAGGCAGAAAUUUACAGUUGUUGUAUUCACGAGUCUCGGAAUCAAGAAAUGACGCUUCUGAAAGAAAGUUUAAAUUUUCUAAAUUUUCUACCCAGUCACACUAGAGGUCAACGUUUUCUUGCCUUUACCAGACCUCCCGAUUUUUGGAGAUGUCAAGUUGGAAUGUCUGGUUACGAGUCAAUCUUCUGUACACUCUCCUCUAUUCUGUGCUGUGUAGCAAUUGGCUGGUGUUGAGAUGACAUAACCUUCCUGGGUGGUUGAGGGGAUGUUCCCCUCAGAAAAUUUUAAAGGGCAUAGGCCCUUUACCAGACUGGUUUUGGCAGGUUUGGUCAAUUGUGGACUAGCAUUUGGUAAUUGCGAGCAAGCCUGGAAAUAAGCAUCCUGUCACGGUAAUUGACCGUGGGGGGUGAACAGGGGUAUACAAAUCCACCCAAAUUUGAAGCAAAAUCCACAAUCCGACAAUGGUCUUGCCUAAAUUUGAAUCCGCUAAAAGCUCUACUAUGAAGUCACAAUCCAGGAUCCGAACUAAAUUGCAAGCUAAAUCCAUAAUCCGAGCCAAAAUAUUAGAUAAAUCCGCAAUCCAUUGAAAACCUAUUCACCCACCCCCCUUGACCGGCACAAAUACACAAUUUGCAGUGUUUUGACAGGCACAAAUUUGAUUAAACUAACCUUCCUGUCAACAAACUCUAUUAUUUGUGCUAUAAAGUUUAAAAUUAUCCGGUUUACUAGAAAAUACAUACAUGCAGAAACUCUCGCCUUACUGACAAAACCAUUGUAUUUUCUGAACAUGAAGUAUCUAAAGUAGUUGUCAUGGUAUAAUCGAUAAUUUUGCAUAUGUUAGAUAUGCUAUUAUACGUAAUAUAAGCUUCAAUUUAAGGUAAAAUUCAACCACAAACGCUUCGCAAAACGUUUUAAAAUGUUCUUUAUAAAACUAAGCUGCUUUUAUUAAAGUUUAAUUAAAUGGCUUUAUCGAUAAACUUUGAGUUUGCAAUAAAAUGAUUUCAAAUUCUCGCAUGUAAAUAACUUUGCUUUCUUUUUUAUUUAAAAAAUUAAAUAUAAUAAAAAAGGGAAUCAAUAUUAAAGAUACACUGAAAAUAUAUGCUGUCUCAGUUUAGUUGUUUCAUAUACGCAAAGCCAAAGGCCGUCGGGUUUUAAAGCUAUUAUAAAAUCAAUAUUUAAAACAAACUUACCUUCAUUAACGUCGGCUCCCUUCUUUUAGCCGAUUCUUUUGCCCUUUCUUUCUGAGAAGGCUUUUGAAAUUUACAAAAUCUUGCAAAAAUGCGAGCAAAAAUGAAAUAUAUUUGCAAGAAAUUUACCAAUCAUCAAAUCAAGAAAUGUUUGCUAUUUCGCUGUCAUCAUGCAGUCGUUAUAAUGCAAACUUUAAAUUGGACCAAUCAGUGUCCGCUAUUCAUGUCAGUCCGCCAUAUUUUUGAGAUCAGUGAGGAUGACCACCCGUGGUUGGUCACCCAUGCCCACGAUUAUUGAUGAACUUUAGACUCCGCUAAUGCUUUCGUUUCCCCGGGUGUACAUAGCCGGGGGGAAUUAGUACCCUCGCACGGCGCUUCGCGCCGUCAGCUCGGGGAUUAAAUACAUGAUGCUUUAAACAUGAUGCCAUGUUUGUGCAGUGUUUCCACUAUGAUAAAAUUUCCUUCUUAUUCGCCUCAUGAUGAAUGAUGAUCAAACUUCCUUCCAAGUCAGAGACGGAUUUUCAUAUUUUUGUUCGGGAGGGUGGAUAAAUAUCUGUGGGUGCUGCUGUUUGCUUUGGCCAGGGCCUGGUGGCAACGCCCGGAAAGGCCAAGGAAAAAGUUCAACAAAAUUUGUUUUAUAGGCCUGCAUGGCAUCUGAGACCAUAAUAUUGGUAAUUUUACAAAUUUAGUAGUAAGAAUAAUCAAAUAUGAAACUAUCAAAUCAAAAUAUAUAUCAUUUGCGGGGGUGCAAAAACUUUUUGGGGCGGUGCCAAAUGCCUCUGGGGGGGUGUGCACCCCCCCCNNNNNNNNNNNNNNNNNNNNCCCCCCCCCCCUCCCGCACUCCCCAGAAAAUCCGUGCUUGUUCCAAGUGGAAACAUCAUUUGCGAGUUUGGCAGGAAUUUUUGUUGAACUUGAACCGCGAAAAAAAUUUAAAUAUCAAAGAAAAUAACUAACUUGGUUGGUUUGUUGGAUGGUUGGUUCAUUUGUCCGAUUUUCAUUAUGCACUUGUUGUGAAAGAUUGCUAAACUCACUUGUUCACUUCACUCACUCGUUCCUUUGCAAUCUUUCAUGGUUCGUGCAUAAAAAUCAUACACGCUCACCAACCAUGCAGUAAUCUCUAUGUAUUUAAUGAUUUUAACCAUUGCAUAUUUUGUAUCCUAUGUUUUUGGCAGUCCGGUACAAUGACCGGUAUGUUUUGUUUCAUGACAGGCACAAAUUCAUUGGUUCUGGACUGCUGGUCAUUUUGACAGGCAGGUCCUCAAAAAUUAUUUCCAGACUUGAUUGCGAGUGUGAAUUUUAUUAGACCUAACCAGGAGUAGUUGCGAAAAAUGCAACCAUAAGCCCUCUGGCAGGAAUCAAACCUGUGGUCCUGUGAUUCCGGUGCAGCGCUCUAACCAACUGAGCUACAGAGGACAGUUGUCAAGCUCUAUAAAAGUCACACUCGCUAUUUCCAUCUAUAAAACCCUUCUACAAAUAGUUAUGGAGAGUGAAAAACCUGAUAUUUACCCAUGCACCUUACAUUGGCUGAUCACCUUAGUUAUAUCCAUGAACUUAUGGUUAGAGCUCAACAACUGUCCUCUGUACCUCAGUUGGUUAGAGCGCUGCACCGGAAUUGCAGGGCUGCAGGUUUGAUUCCUGCCAGAGGACCUAUAGUUGCAUUUUCCUGGUUAGGUCUAGUAAAUAAUAAAAUGUAUAAACUUCAGACUCGAAAUUUCCAUCUACAAAACCCUUCUUUAAAUUAGUUAUCAUCUUGAGUGUAGAUGCCCAAAAAUCUUGAUAUUUAGCAUUUGGUAAGUAUGAUGUCACAUGCAAAAAAAAACAUAAGAUUAAAAAUUUGAAGUUGAUGUUUAAAAAUUAGGAAACUUUAGAGAACAAUUGGGGAAAGAAUGAAAGGAAAUGGGUAGGUGUAUUAAAAAUAUCCAGUAGGGAAUAUGUUAGGUCCGAAAAAAUGUUCCGCCACGUGCUAGUUCUUCUCUCAUGCCAGCAAUGCAAUGAAAUUUGACCUGAAUGACUAGUGACUAGUGCCACAAUUCAUGAAGUUGUUCACUCACAUCAACUGAGUAUGGCAUGAUCCUGUGUAGAAAAGUGCCUGUGUAAUUUUUGCUUUUGUACCGUUCCUAUCCAUUUCUCAUGGUAUGUUCAGAAAGAUAAUCCUUGAAUCUACCGUGAGUUUAGGGUCUCUGUUUGCAUUGUAGAAAACAUUACAUGUUGUUGGGGCAUGGAAAUGUUUAAAUAUAUAGUAAAUGAUAAUUAUCUGAAACAAUUUUAUAGUCAGGACACAUUCUGCUUCUAGAAACUCGCUUUUAGUUUUCAUUGAUUUGAUUACUAUAUUAUCUACAUCAAUAAGACAAUAUGUAACAUAUAAACUAGAGGACUAAUGUAGGUCUUUAGUCCUAUCACUUGCAAAUAUUAUCUUAAUUGUUUCGUUAUGUAAUCUUGUACAUGUAGGGGGAAAAAUAAAAUAAAAAUAACCCAUCCUAUAUGACUCCCACGCCGUUAGUUGAUGGAUACUCUAAAUAAACCAUGUCUGUGUUAUAGACAUGACAUGACAGCUAAGAAAACAAAUCAGUAUAAGGGACGGACCAUUUGAUUUUUCAUGGGGGGGGGGGCGCAAAUCCGAAAAAAAAUAUCGAGCAUGUCUCGAAUGGAAGAAAAAAAAAUCGAACAUCACUAACACCAGCAAAAAAAAAUAUCGAGCACAAAAAAAUUCUAAAUUUAAUAGCAAUACUCUAUAUUGAAAGAAAAAUUCAGUUUCCCUUUCACAUUUCACGGAUAA